GAGGGUAUAGCUCAGUGGCAGAGUGCAUGCUUAACUUGCAUGGGGUUCUAGGUUCAAUCCCCAGUGCCUCCU
rnacentral:tRNA from 1 species